AGUGAACGUUGGCGGCGUGGAUUAGGCAUGCAAGUCGAGCGAGAACCGUAGCAAUACGGGGACAGCGGCGAAAGGGACAGUAAUGUGUAGGUACCUACCCCGAGGUCUGGGAUAGCUGCGGGAAACUGCAGGUAAUACCGGAUAAUGUCUUCGGACCAAAGGUGUGAUUCCACCUUGGGAGGGGCCUGCAUCCUAUUAGCUAGUUGGCGGGGUAAUGGCCCACCAAGGCGACGAUGGGUAGCGGGUGUGAGAGCACGACCCGCGUCAUUGGGACUGAGAGAAUGCCCAGACGACUACGGGUGGCUGCAGUCGAGGAUCUUCGGCAAUGGGCGAAAGCCUGACCGAGCGACGCCGCGUGCGGGAUGAAGGCCUUCGGGUUGUAAACCGCUGUCGUAGAGGAGGAAAUGCAGGUGGGUUCUCCCAUCUGUUUGACCUAUUCUAGGAGGAAGUACGGGCUAAGUUCGUGCCAGCCGCCGCGGUAA
rnacentral:rRNA from 1 species